ACCUACGGGAGGCAGCAGUGGGGAAUUUUGGACAAUGGGCGAAAGCCUGAUCCAGCAAUGCCGCGUGAGUGAAGAAGGCCUUCGGGUUGUAAAGCUCUUUUGUCAGGGAAGAAACGGUGAAAGCUAAUAUCUUUUGCUAAUGACGGUACCUGAAGAAUAAGCACCGGCUAACUACGUGCCAGCAGCCGCGGUAAUACGUAGGGUGCAAGCGUUAAUCGGAAUUACUGGGCGUAAAGCGUGCGCAGGCGGUUUUGUAAGUCUGAUGUGAAAUCCCCGGGCUCAACCUGGGAAUUGCAUUGGAGACUGCAAGGCUAGAAUCUGGCAGAGGGGGGUAGAAUUCCACGUGUAGCAGUGAAAUGCGUAGAUAUGUGGAGGAACACCGAUGGCGAAGGCAACCCCCUGGGUCAAGAUUGACGCUCAUGCACGAAAGCGUGGGGAGCAAACAGGAUUAGAUACCCGAGUAGUCCCAUGA
rnacentral:rRNA from 1 species